rnacentral:rRNA from 1 species
UACGAGAGGCCCAAACGUUAAUCGGAAUUACUGGGCGUAAAGCGUGCGCAGGCGGCUUUGCAAGACAGAUGUGAAAUCCCCGGGCUCAACCUGGGAACUGCAUUUGUGACUGCAUGGCUGGAGUGCGGCAGAGGGGGAUGGAAUUCCGCGUGUAGCAGUGAAAUGCGUAGAUAUGCGGAGGAACACCGAUGGCGAAGGCAAUCCCCUGGGCCUGCACUGACGCUCAUGCACGAAAGCGUGGGGAGCAAACAGG